UAGGGAAUAUUGCAAAAUGGGCGAAAGCCCGAUGCAGCAACGCCGCGUGGGCGAUGAAGGCCUUCGGGUCGUAAAGCCCUUUUUGAGGGGAUGAGGAAGGACAGUACCCUCAGAAUAAGCCUCGGCUAACUACGUGCCAGCAGCCGCGGUAAAACGUAGGAGGCGAGCGUUAUCCGGAUUUACUGGGCGUAAAGCGCGUGCAGGCGGAUUGGAGAGUUGGAUGUGAAAGCUCCCGGCUUAACUGGGAGAGGUCGUUCAAUACUUCCAGUCUUGAGUGCAGUAGAGGGAAGUGGAAUUCCGGGUGUAGUGGUGAAAUGCGUAGAUAUCCAGAGGAACACCAGUGGCGAAAGCGGCUUCCUGAACUGUAACUGACGCUCAGACGCGAAAGCUAGGGUAGCAAACG
rnacentral:rRNA from 1 species